UGUGUAGGCGGGUGAUUAAGUCAGUGGUGAAAUCCUGCAGCUUAACUGUAGAACUGCCAUUGAAACUGAUCUUCUUGAGUACAGUUGAGGUAGGCGGAAUGUGUAAUGUAGCGGUGAAAUGCUUAGAUAUUACACAGAACACCGAUUGCGUAGGCAGCUUACUAAACUGAUACUGACGCUGAGGCACGAAAGCGUGGGGAGCGAACAGGAUUAGAUACCCUGGUAGUCC
rnacentral:rRNA from 1 species